UGCCAACGAGAAUAUCAUAUGCAAAUGUUCACAGAUCUCAAUGUCCAAUAGGCCAGGUAGAUACCUCAUACCAGUUCGGGUAGCAUCGACUUAACUAAACACGCACGACUAUAGCACGACCUUGUACUGAUACAACGUGGAUGGAACAAAACUUUCUCUGGUUAUAUCAUUACGAGGGGGACCAACGAUAGCAAAGACCCUCAAAAUCUAUUAUCAGGAACUAAAAUUACAGACCAUACCGUCUACCAUCGAGUUCCACUUGCUAUGCAAUUAAUGAACACUUGAAGUUCAGUGCUGGAGGACUCACCACAUGCAAUCAGGUGGUAACUUGAUUUGACGAAGUUUGGAGAUUAAACCUUUUUGAUGAUUUGCACAACAUCUUCAUCUUCCAAUUCGUGCUNUCAUACCAGUUCGGGUAGCAUCGACUUAACUAAACACGCACGACUAUAGCACGACCUUGUACUGAUACAACGUGGAUGGAACAAAACUUUCUCUGGUUAUAUCAUUACGAGGGGGACCAACGAUAGCAAAGACCCUCAAAAUCUAUUAUCAGGAACUAAAAUUACAGACCAUACCGUCUACCAUCGAGUUCCACUUGCUAUGCAAUUAAUGAACACUUGAAGUUCAGUGCUGGAGGACUCACCACAUGCAAUCAGGUGGUAACUUGAUUUGACGAAGUUUGGAGAUUAAACCUUUUUGAUGAUUUGCACAACAUCUUCAUCUUCCAAUUCGUGCUCCUGGUAGAUAAAGCAGUCAGAUAUUAGUAAAGAUAUUGGCAAACUGUACUGAUGA
rnacentral:lncRNA from 1 species